GGUUCGAUGGUGUAGUUGGUUAUCACGUCAGUCUAACACACUGAAGGUCUCCAGUUCAAUCCUGGAUCGAAUCA